AUUAAGUAUAUAAUUGGGUUAUUUAAGACAUAAUGCUAUUGCUCACUUUCUACUAUCAUGCAGCAUAAACAUUUUAAUAUGCACUGGGAAACCAAAACAUUUGUGCGACCCACUUUACUGUGAUAUUUGCUUUAUUGCGAUGGCCUGGAACCAAGUCUGCAGCAUCUCCAAGGGAUGCUGUACAGAGAAAGCUGUCUCUUCGCAGUUCUUCUGGGUGUCUGAAAACAUAUCCACCAGAAACACCAAGUUGAAGUCAUGUUCUCGCCUCUGCCCGUUUCUGGUGGCUCUGCUGGCCAUUUAGAAGCACAUGGGAAUGGCACGGCUGGGCCUUCCUUUUUGCUCAGAAGAGAAGUUUGGGUUGACUUUAAGCAUAUGGCCCAAGUUCCUAACUUGGAAUUAACGACCAUGGGCAGAGUUCCAUGUGAAUUUCUCAACUGGACAAGUUGAACACAAGGACCCGAAUUUUCUCUUCCCCUCAGAUCGUCCAUAGGGCACUGACCUGCGCGAGGCCAGCUCUAGUGUCUUUUUCUUGUGAGAGGUCUGAAACAUUUCUCCAUGUAAGUGGAAUCUAAGUCGCCCAGGGGCCUGUUCUUUCCACAGAAUGCCUCUCCAGAAGAGUCUAUCUAAAUGGCUUCAAAUGAUCUAACAGAAAGCACAUGGACUCAGUAUUAAUGGUGGGAAAAGAACACUAGUUUAGUUUGGAAGCAUUUUUAUCUUAGAAUAGAAGUCUCCAAGGAAAGGCCCAUGACACUACUGUAAAAUCAGGUGCACAGGUUUGCCAUGAUCUCUUUAGCAUUUCUAACAGGAUGAGGAUCAGGCCCCUCCCUCUUCUCAUUUUUCUUCCUAUUUCAUGGAGGAACUAUGUAAACCAAGAGAAGACUGAUGGUGGAACUAAAACAUUCUAAAAACUUUAAGUAUAGACUCUCCAAAUUCACAUACUAAAUUAGAGUUUAGAAGAACAGUGCCUUGUACUUCACAGAAAUUCAGAAUUUCUGAAUUACAGAAGGCAUUUGGUAUUUUGUAGAAAUGGAGAAAAGGCAUUUGGUAGUUCUCUGAAGCAAAGUUAGGCCUAAAAUGGCACAAAAAUGCCCAUUUAGGAUACUGCUUCCUUCAUGAUGAAAACCUUAAAGGAAAGCCUGCUGGAACUGUGCACUGCACCUUUGGUAGGAAAAUGAGGUAUUUUAUAACGAUUAGUACUUUUGGAUAUGAUGUAUGCAGGAAACUCAUUCUAAUAAAUCUCCCAUAAUCAACUACUGUGUAAA